GACUUUGUAGCAAGCGAUCUUUCCGACAUACUCGUUCGCCACUUCGAUGAUCACUGGCUCGAUCAUCCUGCAAGGCCCGCACCAUGGAGCCCAGAAAUCUACUAGCACUGGGAUCUGGCUCUCCAUCACCAGAUUGUUCCAGGUCCCCUCAUUCACAAUCUCAACUUGGUCAACUGCAUUUUUAGCCUGACAGACGAGUCGACUUCCGCGGUUGCCACCAUGAGGGAAUGCCGCCGAUAGUGAAGAAGAUGAUAAUGAGAGAGAGUGAACUGCUCGACUCGACCGUCGGCUUGCCGCUAAGUUGAGCUUCUCCUUGUGGGUGAAGGGGUGCUGAGCAUGCAAAGCACCGGUUCUAGUGGUGGCUGUGGAGGCCAUGGUGCUCACUUGGAAGCAAGAUUCCAGAGCCAUUUUCUCUCACCUCUCUCUUUCUCUCUCCUUCAGCUUCG
rnacentral:misc_RNA from 1 species